rnacentral:rRNA from 1 species
ACGAACGCUGGCGGCGUGCUUAACACAUGCAAGUCGAACGGAAAGGCCCUGCUUUUGUGGGGUGCUCGAGUGGCGAACGGGUGAGUAACACGUGAGUAACCUGCCCUUGACUUUGGGAUAACUUCAGGAAACUGGGGCUAAUACCGGAUAGGAGCUCCUGCUGCAUGGUGGGGGUUGGAAAGUUUCGGCGGUUGGGGAUGGACUCGCGGCUUAUCAGCUUGUUGGUGGGGUAGUGGCUUACCAAGGCUUUGACGGGUAGCCGGCCUGAGAGGGUGACCGGCCACAUUGGGACUGAGAUACGGCCCAGACUCCUACGGGAGGCAACAGUGGGGAAUAUUGCACAGUGGGCGGAAGCCUGAUGCGGCAACGCCGCGUGCGGGAUGACGGCCUUCGGGUUGUAAACCGCUUUCGCCUGUGACGAAGCGUGAGUGACGGUAAUGGGUAAAGAAGCACCGGCUAACUACGUG